CUACGGGGGGCUGCAGUGGGGAAUAUUGGACAAUGGGGGGAACCCUGAUGCAGCAACGCCGCGUGGAGGAUGACGCAUUUCGGUGUGUAAACUCCUUUUAUAUGUCAAGAAAAUGACGGUAGCAUAUGAAUAAGCACCGGCUAACUCCGUGCCAGCAGCCGCGGUAAUACGGAGGGUGCAAGCGUUACUCGGAAUCACUGGGCGUAAAGGACGCGUAGGCGGGUUGGAAAGUCAGGUGUGAAAUCCUACAGCUUAACUGUAGAACUGCACUUGAAACUUCUAAUCUAGAGUAUGGGAGGGGGAGAUGGAAUUAGUGGUGUAGGGGUAACAUCCGUAGAUAUCACUAGGAAUACCUAAAGCGAAGGCGAUCUCCUGGAACAUUACUGACGCUAAGGCGUGAAAGCGUGGGGAGCAAACAGGAUUAGAUACCCGGGUAGUC
rnacentral:rRNA from 1 species